GACGAACCGUGCAAACGUUGUUCGGAAUCACUGGGCUUAAAGGGCGCGUAGGCGGGCCGGCCAGUCUGUGGUGAAAGCCCCCAGCUCAACUGGGGAAGUGCCGUGGAUACUGCCGGCCUGGAGGAGGGUAGGGGCAUCUGGAACGCUGGGUGGAGCGGUGAAAUGCGUUGAUAUCCAGCGGAACUCCGGUGGCGAAGGCGAGGUGCUGGACCCUUUCUGACGCUGAGUGCGCGAAAGCCAGGGGAGCAAAGCGGG
rnacentral:rRNA from 1 species